GUCGGGAUAGCUCAGCUGGYAGAGCAGAGGACUGAAAAUC
rnacentral:tRNA from 1 species